AUGGCGGCGGCGGGCGGGGGCAGCAGCGUGAACCCUUUUCUCAGCGACUCGGAGGAGGACGAGCCUGAAGAAGCCAGGCCCGGCGGUGGCAGCAGCAGCAGUACCGAGCCGGGAGGGCCGGCGUACCCGGCCCGGCGGCGGGAGGAGGCGGCGGCCGCGGGCAGCCCCGAAGAGCUGCCGGGUUUGCGGGCGGCGGGCGAUGCGGCGGGGGCGGGCGGCGGGGCCGCCGCUGGGGAUCCGCCGCGGGUGUCGAUGGACGCGAUGGCGGCUCAGCUCCUGCGGGAUCAGUUCCUGCUGACGGCGCUGGAGCUGCACACGGAGCUGCUGGAGAGCGGCCGGGAGCUGCCCAGGCUGCGUGAUUUCUUCUCCAACCCGGGCAACUUCGAGAGGCAGAGCGGCACGCCGCCCGCCGGAGGGGGUCUGGGCGGCGGCGUGCUCGGCGGAGCCGGCGGCAGGGAGCCCGGCUCCGGGCAGCUCAAUCGCGCUGGAAGCAUCAGUACUCUUGAUUCCUUAGAUUUUGCAAGAUACUCCGACGACGGCAAUAGGGAAGCGGACGAAAGAGUGGCGGUCCUGGAGUUUGAACUACGGAAAGCCAAGGAGACCAUACAGGCCCUCCGAGCCAACCUGACUCAGGCUGCAGAAAAUGAAGUUCCUUUGCAGGAACGAAAAAAUUAUAAAUCAAGUCCUGAAAUUCAGGAGCCAAUCAGACCUCUUGAGAAAAGAGCUCUAAACUUCCUAGUUAAUGAAUUUUUAUUGAAGAAUAGUUACAAGCUUACAUCAAUAACAUUUUCAGAUGAAAACCAUGAUCAGGAUUUUGAAUUGUGGGAUGAUGUGGGAUUGAACAUUCCAAAACCUCCUGACCUUUUACAACUCUAUCGGGACUUUGGAAACCAUCAUGUUACCACAAGAGAUGUGGUGGAUGUAUCAGUUGGUGUAGAUGAUGAUGAGUUGGAGGCUGCCACCCCUAUACUUGGGACAGUUCCGGUAUUUGAAACAACACCACAAUCAAUAGAACAAUGUUUGAUAGUGCAGAAAUUAGAAGAUCAAAUUAGUGUUUUAAACAAUGAGAAAUGGUCUUUGAUGGAACAAAUCCAAAGACUUGAGAGUGAAAUAGAUUUCCUCAAGAAUGAAAACUUUGCCGUGUCUACAGUUUAUGGUGUAGCUCCCCAUCCUUCCUUAGAGCAAGUGCCUCACACAGUCUCAGAGGACAAUGGACGGUACUUGGAUAUCAAGAGCUCUGAGAAUGACAGUAAACAUGCAGACGCUGAGGAAAAAAGCCUUUCUUCAUCAGCUGAACAUGAUACAAGGACUUCAAAAGAUGAUACGCUAAAUUCUGUCCCCUGUAAAGACACAGAGAAAGUGUCCUCUUGUGCUCCAUCAGCUAAAACUGCAGUGCACUUUGAUAAACCGAAUAGGAAAUUGUCACCAGCUUUCCAUCAAGCACUACUGUCUUUCUGUCGAAUGUCAGCAGAUAGUCGUUUGGGAUCAGAGGUAUCUCGAAUUGCAGACAGUGAGAAAAGUGUCAUGCUAAUGUUGGGACGCUGCCUGCCUCAUAUUGUUCCUAAUGUGCUGCUUGCAAAGCGAGAGGAACUGAUCCCACUCAUACUGUGUACAGCCUGCCUUCAUCCUGAACCCAAAGAGAGAGAUCAGCUUCUACACAUACUGUUCAAUUUGAUCAAACGACCAGAUGAUGAGCAAAGGCAGAUGAUACUGACCGGCUGUGUGGCAUUUGCCCGACAUGUUGGACCAACGCGUGUAGAAGCUGAGCUUUUACCACAGUGUUGGGAACAGAUCAAUCACAAAUACCCAGAGAGACGGCUACUGGUAGCAGAAUCUUGUGGAGCACUAGCACCUUACCUUCCUAAAGAAAUUCGUAGUUCAUUGGUACUUUCCAUGCUGCAACAAAUGCUAAUGGAAGAUAAGGCAGAUCUGGUACGAGAAGCUGUGAUCAAAAGCCUUGGCAUCAUUAUGGGAUAUAUUGAUGAUCCAGACAAAUAUCAACAGGGCUUUGAACUGCUGCUUUCAGCUUUAGGAGACCCUUCAGAACGUGUAGUUAGUGCAACACAUCAAGUAUUUCUACCUGCUUAUGCUGCCUGGACAACAGAACUGGGGAACUUACAGUUCCAUCUUAUACCUACGCUGCUUAGUAAAAUUGAAAAACUGCUCAGGGAAGGAGAACACGGUUUGGAUGAACAUAAGCUCCACAUGUAUCUAUCUGCUUUGCAGUCACUGAUUCCAUCAUUAUUUGCAUUGGUGCUACAGAAUGCACCUUUCACAAGCAAGGCUAAACUUCAGGGAGAAGUACCACAAAUAGAAGUCACUAGAUUUCCCCGACCUGCAUCACCUCUUCAGGAUGUGGCUGUCAUCGUCGGAAGCCGUGAACAAUUGGCAGUACUGUUGCAACUUUACAACCAUCAGCUAGAACAUGAGGGGACCACAGGCUGGGAGACUUUGCUAUGGGUAGUCAAUCAACUGUUACCACAGCUUAUAGAAAUAGUUGGCAAAAUCAACGUAGCAUCAACUGCAUGUGUCCAUGAGUUCUCCAGAUUUUUCUGGCGACUUUGUAGGACAUUUGGGAAAAUUUUUACAAACACUAAGGUAAAACCACAGUUCCAGGAAAUACUAAGACUAUCUGAGGAAAACAUAGAUUCCGCAGCAGGUAACGGAGUGCUUACAAAAGCUACAGUUCCCAUCUAUGCAACAGGGGUCCUUACAUGUUAUAUUCAGGAAGAGGACCGCAAGCUGUUAGUUGGAUUCUUGGAAGAUGUCAUGACCAUGCUAUCGCUGUCCCACGCUCCUCUUGAUAGCCUGAAAGCUUCCUUUGUGGAACUGGGUGCAAACCCAGCUUAUCAUGAGUUGCUGUUAACUGUCUUAUGGUAUGGAGUUGUCCAUACUUCAGCUCUUGUUCGAUGCACAGCAGCUAGAAUGUUUGAGGUGAAUCUGCCAUGUCGUAUCCAUUUCUGAAAACAAAUCUCAAGUCUGCCUUGAGGACAGAAGUGCUUAAUGCUACCAUUACUCUUCUCUACUGCAACUCUGCUAGUCACUGCAGACAAAGCACUAAACAGUGACUUAAAAACUUACUGUGCGACUUCCCUUGAAAGUAUCCAACUCUGUCUUGUUUUUUUUCUCUUGUGAAAAGGAGAUGGCAAUUUUGGUCACCCAUAAAACAUUUCUUAGUUUGUUUACAAUACAAGCACAUGGCUUAUAUUUCAUAUUUGUAAAAAUGUUGUUUCCUUUUUUGUGUAAUCAUUAACUCAAUACACAAAAAACUUCAGUUAAUACAAGCUGUUAUCUUGGUUGUGGUUUAUUUUCCACUGCAAAUUGAUAAUUUUUGGGUAGCUCUGCAUGCUACUUGUUUGCUUUCUAAUGUAUUUCAGUUUUUACUAGUGCAUAGGCGACCUCACUGAAGACAUUUUUCUCACUGGAAAACUGAUUUACUAUGUUGCCACUUCAUAGCUGUAGUCUGUGCAUUUAUACAUGACAGUAUGUGAAUUUUGGAAGUCAACUAUAGAAAGCGAUGGUAGCAGUUCAUUUUAUUUUGGAGGAUUCCUUCAUGUGAGGAAUUUUGGAUGUCUCAGUGAUCACUCGCUGGCAAAACACAGCAAUUCUCUCAGAAGAUAGACAGUAAUGAUUGGAUAACAUAGAAGAGUGUGUCUUGAGCUGGACAGCUGUACUUGUACUGCAAAGUUUUAGACCAGUACAGUGAUCUGCAGCAGCUCAGGGACUGCUGUGAUUUAGGCCUGCCAAAUCAUUUUAUGAAACCCUUACCAGUCUGUUCCGGAGUAAAAGAACAUGAGUGAUUUAUAGCCAAUGUAUUUUUGCUUGCCCCUGGGGACAGGAAGCUCUGUGCUAUAGUUUUUAAGGUGUGGUAUAUAUGAAGUAAUGAACAUGCAUUCCUUGGUAAGAAUCAAAAGAGGAUCAAACUUUGUGUUGUCUGUCUCACUGUAGCCUUAAAUGCAACGUGGCUUUGCCCAUCCAGCUGUUUCCUUUGUGCCUGUGCAUUAAUGUUUUCUGUCAGUAGUUUCCCAUUUGAAUGUUGAUGCAAACAGAUUUGACUGCUGCUGGUUUGAACAGUGAAGCGUGUAGCUGAGUUACAAGCAUUGUUGGUCUGUUCAAGGUUAGGAACUCUUUUCUUCAGAAUGACUCUUAAAUGAUUAUACGUGCUUUUACUUUCUUUAAGACAGAAUGAUGCUAUUUACCAUGCUUUACCAUGAUUAGCAGCCCAUAUAGUUGUGGAGCUGAGAUCACUCUAAGUUGUUUGCUAAUUACACAAAUUCUAAGAAUUCCAGCCUCCAGACUUUUCUCAAAACAAAGAUUGGUAAAGAAAACUCAUAUCCCUGUUUGUCCCCAGUUAAAAACAAUAAACAUUGUCUAGUUUAGUCAGUGGGAAAACUGUAUGGGAGUAAAUUUGUUAUGGCUGAACAGAGUGCUACGACCUUAGCAUCAAUCUGAGCAUGAAUACAUCAGCCUUAUGUUGAUGCAUCCAACCAGUGCAUCAACCUUAAGGUGAAUAGGUCAACACUUUAUAAGUUGCUGCUACUGUAAAUAAUUAUGGAAUGCAUUAAUAUUAAAAUGUAGUAGAGUAGCUGACGUUGCUAGUACUUUGUGAGUUAUGAGCGUAGGAAGUUGCAGCUUUCUACUUCUGAGAUUUUGCAGCAGUAAUGCUUACGCAGCUUAACAUUUCUCACCCCUGUGCUUCCUUGUCCAGUCAUUACCUGUGAGACCAUGAUACGGUCACAGCAUCUGGGUACAUAGGCACACACACGUGCACACUCAAAUGUUGCUUAGUAGAUAUCACUGUUUUAUAUAGAAAGUCUUCUGGAAAGUCAGACUCCUUGCAGUCUUUCAUAAUGUUCAUGUUUUAAAUUCAGUCAGUAAAAUUGGAAUGCUCAAACAAAUAGCAUAAUGUAAAACUCUAGUUAGAAUGUAACUAGUGCUUGGUUUUAGCACUGCGUGAUACAGUAAGAGAUGCUGCUUUCCCUAUGCUUUCCAUUUUAACUAAUGCAGAUUUUAAAAAUGACAAUAAAAAGCAACAACCCGCACCUGUUUUGCUGAAGUGGGAAGUUUAGAAUUUGCCAUUUUCUAAAAAUUAAGUUUAUAUUAUUGUGUAGAAAGGGUAUCUGUUUCACAUGUAGUUAUACAUACAUAAAGACACAAGCAGUGCAGUUCUAAACGUAAUCAGUUUCCACGUAUCUGUGGGUAAUGACAUAAAUUUCAAUGUGAUCUCAGUUUCUAAUACAAUGGAUAAGUCAGGUGUUGUCCAUUUUCUACCUGCGUAGACCAGCAAUUGUAACUUGAGUUGUUACAAUAUAGACUGCUUGGGUGGCCAUUAAAUCUAAAAUAAUUCACAGUGACUUUGAGGAAAGCUUAGUGGCCUCUGGGGAAGUACUUUUUGUCAUUUUAUGAUGUCUGAAAGGUGUCACUCAGUGCUGGAAAAACACAUGUAUUUGGCCUGACUAAAGAAAUCUACCUUUGCACGUGACAGUCUUCAUGUACAAUAACAUAUGCCAUUGCACUGAGGUAUAGCAUCAUUUAGACCAGACUGUCAAACUCUAAUUGGCAUCAUUUUAGUAUUUUAACAGGUUUGAAUUAUACCACCUAAAUUACUUGCUAAUCUUUCUAUAUUUUGAGUUACAAAAUAGCUGAAGGCAGAGCAAACAACACUGUGUCAUUAAAUUCGUCAGGUUUGUGCUGAUGGCCAGACCACUUCAGCUUUCUUCAUGCCUUUGCAUAUAUGAAGCACUAGUGUAGCAGUAUUUGCUUAGCUUCUAAUUUUGGUUUGCUUUUUGUGUUUUUUCUUUCUCUCUCUUGGUUGUGCCGUUCUUCUUCCCAUGAUACUGUGCUCGCUCUUUCCGUGCAUCACCUGUGAUACCCCCCUGCUCCGACCAUUCAGCUGUUGGUGAAGGGGGUACAUGAAACUCUGGUAGCUCAGAGAGUUGUUCCUGCUCUCAUUACUCUCUCCAGUGACCCUGAAAUUUCAGUGAGGAUUGCAACAAUUCCUGCUUUUGGGACCAUC